AAUACACACAAACUAUACAACAAUACGAACAAAACAUUUUAAUAUUUUCUAAAAUUAUUAGAUUUAGAUCACGUAUUGGAAAAACAAGUCAUAUACAUAAAAUGAUUAUAUUAUUUGAAUUUUGAUUUUUGAAAUUUGAGACGACGACAUCACUAAAUAAUCUGAUGUUGUUUGUUUGUCACUUUACCAAAUCUCUCAUAGUUUAUAGUACGUCCUCUUCAUCUUUUCCUCUAGUGCCACAAUUUUUACAUCGAGAUAAUGGCGGAGCAAACCACCGCCGACCCAACAUUUUCCCCGGCUCUUGUCUCCGUGUCUUCUCCUAGUCCUCCUAAGAAACAAAACACCAGUCCUGUUGAUUCCAAACUCACGGAACUCAACGAAUCAAGAGCCGAGUUGCUUAAUAGGAUCCUGAAUCUGAAACAGGUUGGUUUCUCAUCUUCUUCAGACAUCUCUUGUCUUUUUUUUUUUUUAGACAAAAACAAUCUUACAUCUCUCUGUCUUUAGGACUUGCAAAGCUGGAGAGGCAAGCUGGACACCCAAGUUCAAGUCUACCGUGAGGAGCUCUCUGGGUUGAAGAAGACUCUGAAUCUUGAAGUUGAGCAGCUUCGUGAGGUAUGUAUGUAUCUAUGCACAUUUGAUAUCUUCUUAUUGGUUUCGUGUUUGAUUCGUUUCCUUAACAUGAAAACCACCUUGAAUCAGCAGCAAGAUGAUGUUUCUGCCAGCCUUAAAACCCCAGGCGUGAGUCUCCUGAUACUCUCUUCUUCUUCCUUAAUAAUUCAAAAGAGCAAAUGGUGACAGGAGAGAGUGGAAGCUCGAUUGACUGAUGAGAAUGCGAAAAAAGCAGAGCAUUAGAUGAUGAUAAUGUUUCUUCUUAUCAUCUUACCACUACUACUACUACAACUACGUUGAGAUUGUUACCGUUACUUCUUAAAUAUAUAGUACUUGCGGUUUAGUUAA